rnacentral:rRNA from 1 species
GAUGAACGCUGGCGGCGUGCCUAAUACAUGCAAGUCGAGCGAACAGACGCGGAGCUUGCUCCUCUGACGUUAGCGGCGGACGGGUGAGUAACACGUGGAUAACCUAUCUAUAAGACUGGGAUCACUUCGGGAAACCGGAGCUAAUACCGGAUAAUAUAUUGAACCGCAUGGUUCAAUAGUGAAAGACGGUUUUGCUGUCACUUAUAGCUGGAUCCGCGCCGCAGUAGCUAGUUGGUAAGGUAACGGCUUACCAAGGCGACGAUGCGUAGCCAACCUGAGAUGGUGAUCGGCCACACUGAAACUGAGACACGGUCCAGACUCAGACGGGGGGCAGCGGUAGGGAAUCUUCCGCAAUGGGCGAAAGCCGGACGGAGCAACGCCGCGUGAGUGAUGAAGGUCUUCGGAUCGUAAAACUCUGUUAUUAGGGAAGAACAAAUGAGGAAGUAACUAUGCACGUCUUGACGGUACCUAAUCAGAAAGCCACGGCUAACUACGUG